AACGCACCUUGCACCCUUUGGUAUUCCGAAGGGUACACCCGUUUGAGUGUCAUUGUAAUCUCACCCCAGAUUAUUUCUGGGUGUGGACUUGGACGCUGUCGCGUGUCGUGACUCGUCUGGAAUGCCUCAGUGUACCCCGCUCGUCGGCGUAGACAGUGUGAUAAGUAUCUUCACUGCUCAAGUCUCCUCGGAGAUGCGCUCUCGGGACCGGCCCUGCGCUGCCAACCGUCUUCGGACAACUUUCUGACAAUUUGACCUCAAAUCGGGUGGGAUUACCCGCUGAACUUAA
rnacentral:misc_RNA from 1 species